CCCCAGGCGAUGGUUGUCCUGGGGUAAGCAUGUAGGGCGUGUCGUAGGUAAAUCCGCGGCAUUUAAGCCUGAGAUGUGAUGCCGAGCCGAUUGUGGUGAAGUGGAUGAUCCUAUGCUGCCGAGAAAAGCCUCUAGUGAGUGUUGUGGCGGCCCGUACCCUAAACCGACUCAGGUGGUCAGGUAGAGAAUACCAAGGCGAUCGGGUGAACUGUGGUUAAGGAACUCGGCAAAUUGCCCCCGUAACUUCGGGAGAAGGGGGACCUCUGUUGGUGAUGGGCUUUACGCCUGGAGCUGGUGGGGGUCGCAGUGGCCAGGGGGAAGCGACUGUUUACUAAAAACACAGGUCCGUGCGAAGUCGUAAGACGAUGUAUACGGACUGACGCCUGCCCGGUGCCGGAACGUUAAGGGGACCGCUUAGCUGACGUGAGUUGGCGAAGGUGAGAACUUAAGCGCCGGUAAACGGCGGUGGUAACUAUAACCAUCCUAAGGUAGCGAAAUUCCUUGUCGGGUAAGUUCCGACCUGCACGAAUGGCGUAACGACUUCCCCGCUGUCUCAACCGCAGACCCGGCGAAAUUGCACUACGAGUAAAGAUGCUCGUUUCGCGCAGCAGGACGGAAAGACCCCGGGACCUUCACUACAGCUUGACAUUGGCGUUUGGAACGUCUUGUGUAGGAUAGGUGGGAGACUGGGAAGCUGUCACGCUAGUGAUGGUGGAGUCAUUGGUGAAAUACCACUCUGGUCGUUUUGAACGUCUAACUCUGGUCCGUGAUCCGGAUCGGGGACAGUGUCUGGUGGGUAGUUUAACUGGGGCGGUUGCCUCCUAAAGAGUAACGGAGGCGCCCAAAGGUUCCCUCAGCCUGGUUGGCAAUCAGGUGUUGAGUGUAAGUGCACAAGGGAGCUUGACUGUGAGACUGACAGGUCGAGCAGGAGCGAAAGCUGGGACUAGUGAUCCGGCAUCGGCGUGUGGAAGCGGUGUCGCUCAACGGCUAAAAGGUACCCCGGGUAUAACAGGCUGAUCUUCCCCAAGAGUCCAUAUCGACGGGAUGGUUUGGCACCUCGAUGUCGGCUCGUCGCAUCCUGGGGCUGGAGUAGUCCCAAGGGUUGGGCUGUUCGCCCAUUAAAGCGGUACGCGAGCUGGGUUUAGAACGUCGCGAGACAGUUCGGUCCCUAUCCGCUGCGCGCGCAGGAGACUUGAAGGGGGCUGUCCCUAGUACGAGAGGACCGGGACGGACGAACCUCUGGUGUGCCAGUUGUACCGCCAGGUGCACGGCUGGUUGGCUACGUUCGGAAGGGAUAACCGCUGAAAGCAUCUAAGCGGGAAGCUCGCCUUGAGAUGAGGUCUCCCACCACGAGAGUGGGUAAGGCUCCCGGUAGACGACCGGGUUGAUAGGCCGGAGGUGGAAGCACGGUAACGUGUGGAGCUGACCGGUACUAAUAGGCCGAGGACUUGACCAC
rnacentral:rRNA from 1 species